ensembl:lincRNA Gm14642 predicted gene 14642
GGGAGACACUCCUGGCUACAGAGACAGCGUCACCAUGUUCCCAGGCUUCUCAUGUGCAGAGUGAAGAUGAACACAGCUCUUUAUGCUGCAAAGUUUGCUUAGGAUGCAGGGGGAGGCACUGCUUCUGGGCCGAUCCAGAGAGCUCUAGAUGCCAGACACAGGAGCCAGAAGGCUUUGUUGAUGGGGUUGGUGACACACCUUGCGGUGUAUGCACAUGUAGACACUCAGCACCUGGUGCCCACACGAUGCCCUCUUCAAGCAUCUAGCAAAUACUCUCCAGGAUUAUAUCUACGUGGUGUGAAGAAAGACCUUUAUCUUCCACGUUGCCCCCACCCACACCACAAGAUCACCAGCCACUGCAGGAGCUCCCCUCCCCCACCAGCUGACUGGCUGGCCCCCACCCGGGCCCAUCUGCUCUGCAUGUGUAAGCAUUGUCAAAUUGUUUGAAUAAAUUGUCACUCUGAUUAAAA